rnacentral:rRNA from 1 species
GUGGGGAAUAUUGGGCAAUGGGCGAAAGCCUGACCCAGCAACGCCGCGUGAAGGAAGAAGGCCCUCGGGUUGUAAACUUCUUUUAAGAGGGACGAAAGAAAUGACGGUACCUCUUGAAUAAGCCACGGCUAACUACGUGCCAGCAGCCGCGGUAAUACGUAGGUGGCGAGCGUUAUCCGGAUUUACUGGGUGUAAAGGGCGUGUAGGCGGGAGUGCAAGUCAGAUGUGAAAAUUAUGGGCUCAACCCAUAACCUGCAUUUGAAACUGUUCUUCUUGAGUGAUGGAGAGGCAGGCGGAAUUCCGUGUGUAGCGGUGAAAUGCGUAGAUAUACGGAGGAACACCAGUGGCGAAGGCGGCCUGCUGGACAUUAACUGACGCUGAGGCGCGAAAGCGUGGGGAGCAAACAGGAUUAGAUACCCCUGUAGUCC